rnacentral:rRNA from 1 species
CAUCAGUUUGGUUUGCUUGCAAACCAAAGCUGGCGACCGGCGCACGGGUGAGUAACACGUAUCCAACCUGCCUCAUACUCGGGGAUAGCCUUUCGAAAGAAAGAUUAAUAUCCGAUAGCAUAUAUUUCCCGCAUGGGUUUUAUAUUAAAGAAAUUCGGUAUGAGAUGGGGAUGCGUUCCAUUAGUUUGUUGGCGGGGUAACGGCCCACCAAGACUACGAUGGAUAGGGGUUCUGAGAGGAAGGUCCCCCACAUUGGAACUGAGACACGGUCCAAACUCCUACGGGAGGCAGCAGUGAGGAAUAUUGGUCAAUGGACGCGAGUCUGAACCAGCCAAGUAGCGUGAAGGAUGACUGCCCUAUGGGUUGUAAACUUCUUUUAUAUGGGAAUAAAGUGGUCCACGUGUGGAUUUUUGUAUGUACCAUAUGAAUAAGGAUCGGCUAACUCCGUGCCAGCAGCCGCGGUAAUACGGAGGAUCCGAGCGUUAUCCGGAUUUAUUGGGUUUAAAGGGAGCGUAGGCGGAUUGUUAAGUCAGUUGUGAAAGUUUGCGGCUCAACCGUAAAAUUGCAGUUGAUACUGGCAGUCUUGAGUGCAGUAGAGGUGGGCGGAAUUCGUGGUGUAGCGGUGAAAUGCUUAGAUAUCACGAAGAACUCCGAUUGCGAAGGCAGCUCACUGGAGUGUAACUGACGCUGAUGCUCGAAAGUGUGGGUAUCAAACAGG